AACGAACGCUGGCGGCGUGGCUAAGGCAUGCAAGUCGAACGCGAUUAGUCAACGGGUAACUGGAGACUAGUUGAGUGGCGAACGGGUGAGGAAUACAUGGGUAACGUACCUCGGACACAGGGAUAACGGGCGGGGCUUCGGCUCCUUUGCGAAAGUGCCGCUAAUACCUGAUGAUCCAGCGUGGUCUCCUGAUCAUGCUGGCAAAAGGUCCGCCGGUCUGGGAGCGGCCCAUGUCCUAUCAGCUAGUUGGUGAGGUAACGACUCACCAAGGCAACGACGGUAUCGGGCGUGAGAGCGUGACCCGACACA
rnacentral:rRNA from 1 species